rnacentral:tRNA from 1 species
GGGGUUGUAGCUCAGUGGUAGAGCACUUGCCUGGCAUGCAUGAGGCUCUGGGUUCCAUCCUCAGUAUCACAU